rnacentral:rRNA from 1 species
CCUACGGGCGACAGCAGUGGGGGAUAUUGCACAAUGGGGGAAACCCUGAUGCAGCGACGCCGCGUGGGUGAAGAAGCGCCUCGGCGCGUAAAGCCCUGUCAGCAGGGAAGAAAAUGACGGUACCUGAAGAAGAAGCCCCGGCUAACUACGUGCCAGCAGCCGCGGUAAUACGUAGGGGGCAAGCGUUAUCCGGAUGUACUGGGGGUAAAGGGGGCGCAGACGGCGAUGCAAGCCAGGAGUGAAAGCCCGGGGCCCAACCCCGGGACUGCUCGUGGAACUGCGUGGCUAGAGUGCAGGAGGGGCAGGCGGAAUUCCUGGUGUAGCGGUGAAAUGCGUAGAUAUCAGGAGGAACACCGGUGGCGAAGGCGGCCUGCUGGACUGCAACUGACGUUGAGGCCCGAAAGCGUGGGGAGCAAACAGGAUUAGAUACCCUUGUAGUC